rnacentral:rRNA from 1 species
UACAGAGGUCUCAAGCGUUGUUCGGAUUCAUUGGGCGUAAAGGGUGCGUAGGUGGUGGGGUAAGUCUGGUGUGAAAUCUCGGGGCUCAACCCCGAAACUGCACUGGAUACUGCCUUGCUUGAGUACUGGAGAGGAGAUUGGAAUUUACGGUGUAGCAGUGAAAUGCGUAGAUAUCGUAAGGAAGACCAGUGGCGAAGGCGAAUCUCUGGACAGUUACUGACACUGAGGCACGAAGGCCAGGGGGGCAAACGGG